GCUGACACACCGGUCCACGUAUGAUCACCGAAGUUAAGCCGCGUCGAACCUCGUCAGUAACUAGAUGGGUGACCGCUUGGGAAUACCAAGUGCUAUAA